ensembl:lncRNA
ACACAUUUUAACAGCUAGAACCCCUUCAUGGAUGACAGCCUUGUCAUCACGAAGGGGUUUGUAUGACUCAAUGAAUCUAUGAGCCAUGCCCUGCAGGACCACCCAGGCAGACAGGUCAUAAUGGAGAGUUAUGACAAAACAUGGUCCACUGGAGAAGAGAAGAACCAACCACUCCAGUAGCCUUGCCCCGAGAAUUCCAUGAACAGUAUGAAAAGGCAGAAAGAUGUGACUCCGGGAGCAAACUUCGGGAGAUAAUGAAGGACAGGGAAGCCUGGCAAGCUGCAGUCCAUGGGGUCACAAAGAGUUGGAUACAACUUACCUACUAAACAACAACAGCUAGAAAUAGAAAGCCUAAGAAAUCUUUCAUGGAACGACAACCAAGAUGAAAAAUGUCAUCCAAGGAACCAAAAGCAUCUGAACUUCUGUUUCGUGGAGGAGACAAAAGCAUUUCUAGACGGGGUUGAGCACAGACUCAAAGGGAGCAGGCUAAGAAAGGGAGAGGGCUCCAGGAGGUGCCCAGUCAUCUCGGAACAGUUUCCUUUCUACAAUCCCGCAGCCAAAAAUAACCCAACUCAAGGGAAACGUAGCUGCGCCAAGUACUUCAGCUUUGCUCGCAGAGUUGAAAGCCCGGGAGGCCGUCGGUUCUGCAAAGAGGAGCAGUCGGGCGCGGGCGAGCAAGCAGCUGAUGAAAAUAAUUGUCCUCGCACACAACCCUGCGCCCAGGGGCGCGUGCACGCGCGCGCGCGCGCGUACACACACACUCACACAACUUGCCUCAUCUAGCCGCCCAACCUUAGUAUUCUGGGCAUGUGGUUUUCAAAAACUUGCUUGACACAAUAACAAAGACAUUUAAAUGCCAGGACGCAGACUUCACUUUUUAACCUGCUGAGAGGAGCUACUUUCAAAGCUUCCCCACCGAGAAUAAACUGACAAAAAAUAUGGGGUGCACUUAUAAAUUAAACACCUUACCCUCAAAGCAAUGUGCGUUAAUCAGGUUUCUAAGGCAAUAGCCAUCUCUGUCUUUUCCUAUUCACCCAGAUAAUGCCCCAAGAAGGAACCCCUUUACACAAGAGAGAGCUGGGGGGGGGGGGAAUGAAUUAU